rnacentral:rRNA from 1 species
GACGAACGCUGGCGGCGUGCUUAACACAUGCAAGUCGAACGGAAAGGCCCUGCUUUUGUGGGGUGCUCGAGUGGCGAACGGGUGAGUAACACGUGAGUAACCUGCCCUUGACUUUGGGAUAACUUCAGGAAACUGGGGCUAAUACCGGAUAGGAGCUCCUGCUGCAUGGUGGGGGUUGGAAAGUUUCGGCGGUUGGGGAUGGACUCGCGGCUUAUCCGCUUGUUGGUGGGGUAGUGGCUUACCAAGGGUUUGACGGGUAGCCGGUCUGAGAGGGUGACCGGCGACAUUGGGACUGAGAUACGGCCCAGUCGCCUACGGGAGGCAGCAGUGGGGAAUAUUGCACAAUGGGCGGAAGCCUGAUGUAGCAACGCCGCGUGCGGGAUGACGGCCUUCGGGUUGUAAACCGCUUUCGCCUGUGACGAAGCGUGAGUGACGGUAAUGGGUAAAGAAGCACCGGCUAACUACGUG